GUCUGUGUGUACGUGUGUGAAGGUUUUUUUUUCAUUCAUGAAAAUCCUGGAAAAACCAAAAACACCGAACAACGGAGGAUUGCGAUUCAAAAGAGAGAGGAAAAAAAAGAAGAGUGUCCUGCGCUUUGUUUACACAAUGCGAGUCGCCGGAUGCGUUUACCUGUUCCCACGCAUUUACGAGAUGAAUAAAUGACUGGUCUAUUUAUUCACGUUCGCCCACAUUGCACAACUUCAACAUACAAAUGAAUUCCAUUUAAAUAAUUGAAUAAGAAAAUUUCUUUUUUUUUUUGUUGGUAAUUUGUAAAGUGAAAAGUUAUUCAAAAUGAAUCGAGAGAAAAAAAAAACUGAUAGCGCUGGCCAUGAGCAGAGAAAUAAAAAUUGCACAAUUAACCACAUCCCAAUCUCCGGUAAGGGCCUAUUUUUUGAAAAAAUACAAACAGACUUGUUUUGGACUUUCUGCUCUCGUCCGUUCUUCACUCUCUCAAUAGACCAAGGCGCCCGGUUGUCGUGGUUACUGUCUGGCUCUUCAACAAAUAUUGAUAUUGUCUCCUUGUGUACAUGUACAGAUAUUCAUUUGGAAAUCCCUUGUUCGGACUCGAACGCAGUUUACCUCUUUAUUUGAUUAGCACGACGCUCAUUGAAAGUGUCCUGGAUUUUUAUAAACGAAAAUGUGUGUAUGAAAAAUUGGGUGUGCGGGACGACGUAAAAGAGACUUUGUGUGUGUGUGUCUGUGGUUUCCUUGUUUUCAGUUGGUCGUGUGUGUUGUUUCGCUGGGUGGAGAAAAGAAAAAUUUCAAUUGCGUCACGUCCUUUAGCGCAAUCGCGGGAAUACCAGGAAAACAGAAACAAAAACAAACAAGACUUGAAUUUUUUUUUUUCCUAUCGUUUCUUUUUUGAUUAGAAUAUAUUUGAAAAAUGUGUGCAGCAAAGACACGCGUAUUGGAGAACAGCAUCUGUUUCUCACUUAGCCAGAAGGCUGUUCGAUGAUGACGGAGCUCUGUCACGCCGGCUGCUGUCUUUUUUUUGAACGCGGAACAUGAACGGACCAGCAGCGAGGGUAAUGACAAGGCCACAUCCUUGGUGAUAACUCGUUUCCCUCUUUCACUCCCUUGAUUGUCUUCCUUUGUGUUUUUCCCAGAUUUCAUUCAUUAUGUACCGAAUGAUAAGCUCAGCGAUUCUUUCAUUUUCGGAAAUGUUUUUUUUUUUGUUGGUUUCGCAAUUGUUUCGGGAAAAAAUGAAAGAUUAAUCACGAAGACGCCAGCGAUAUGAAACCAGUAUUCCUUAUUUAAUUAUUUCGAAAACAAAACAAAAUUUCUAGGCAGAGAAAGAAAAUUCCUGGAGAUGGUGAAGAGUUGGGAACCAACGAGUGCUGUGAGUUUGGCGAUUUCAACUUCCACAUGCAAAUUGAGAAAAGAGAUGUAGAGGAAAGAGAGAGAGAGAGAAAAAGUCUAUACCUUUUGAGGAGGCGUGGUCAGCAGGUGCUGACCGACAGCCUUGGAAACGUUCCGUGACGUCACUGCUCCUUCUGUCGGUUUUUUUUUUACGAGAAAUAAAUUUCAAAAAAAAAAAAGCGACAGCUGUUUUCAUUUAUUUAGUCUUCGCCCAGUCUGUACAGAAUUUUCUUAAAACCACACCGCCAUUUUUAUUGGUUUUAAUCGCUUUCCGUGAAAGAGAUGUCUAUUUUUUUCCAAACGCAAUUAUAUACCUAUCUAUACAUCUAUUGUAAGACAACAAUGCUCGAAAAGCCAAAAUAAUGCCGCGUGCGUGCUGUGUUUAACGCCUGUAACGAACUCGCAAGGGGAAGACGAUCCCUUUCCACCAACAAUAGGCGAGAAAAUGAGGACAACUAAAACGAAUUUUUUUUUGUUGUUUUCCUUUGGUCUCUUUCUCUCUCUUUACAUAACGAUAUAAAUAGCGAAAUGGCUUCUUAUUUUAUUUUUUCCCGUUUGUUUUUGUACAAAUUCUUUACGACGUGUCCGUUUUUAUUUUCGUCGGCCACCUGUUUGAGAUAUUUUCUCUUUCUGAUUUUAAAUUUUUCAAUCGACGUGUAUUAAUUUAUUUUUACCAUUUUCUUCUGACGAAGAGCCGCCUUUGUUUACAGGCUCUCUGACUUGCAGGUGAACUGUCUGGAGUGCGUCAACAGCUCCGCAUACGCCGGUGUUUUCUCUUUCUGGUUGGGAUAGUCUACGCAUCAAAUAAAAAGCUUGCUCAAUCUUAUUCAUUUGCUAUAUGCACAAUGUGUGCGCUGGCUCUUUUUUCAAGUCAAACAAACGGAUUUUUUUCUUUUUCUCUCUAAAAAUAGAUUUCUCUUCGUUUUUAUUCUUUAAAAAAACAACAUGCAUAAGUUAUGAAUGAGAUGCGACAAAAACAAACAAUUAAAAAAUAUAUUUAAAAAGAAAUGGU